rnacentral:rRNA from 1 species
GGGUUGUGAGGUUAAGCGACUAAGCGUACACGGUGGAUGCCCUGGCAGUCAGAGGCGAUGAAGGACGUGCUAAUCUGCGAUAAGCGCCGGUAAGGUGAUAUGAACCGUUAUAACCGGCGAUUUCCGAAUGGGGAAACCCAGUGUGAUUCGUCACACUAUCAUUAACUGAAUCCAUAGGUUAAUGAGGCGAACCGGGGGAACUGAAACAUCUAAGUACCCCGAGGAAAAGAAAUCAACCGAGAUUCCCCCAGUAGCGGCGAGCGAACGGGGAGGAGCCCAGAGCCUGAAUCAGCAUGUGUGUUAGUGGAAGCGUCUGGAAAGGCGCGCGAUACAGGGUGACAGCCCCGUACACAAAAGCGCAUGUGCUGUGAGCUCGAUGAGUAGGGCGGGACACGUGGUAUCCUGUCUGAAUAUGGGGGGACCAUCCUCCAAGGCUAAAUACUCCUGACUGACCGAUAGUGAACCAGUACCGUGAGGGAAAGGCGAAAAGAACCCCGGCGAGGGGAGUGAAAAAGAACCUGAAACCGUGUACGUACAAGCAGUGGGAGCACAGGUUUACCUGUGUGACUGCGUACCUUUUGUAUAAUGGGUCAGCGACUUAUAUUCUGUAGCAAGGUUAACCGAAUAGGGGAGCCGGAGGGAAACCGAGUCUUAAUUGGGCGUUAAGUUGCAGGGUAUAGACCCGAAACCCGGUGAUCUAGCCAUGGGCAGGUUGAAGGUUGGGUAACACUAACUGGAGGACCGAACCGACUAAUGUUGAAAAAUUAGCGGAUGACCUGUGGCUGGGGGUGAAAGGCCAAUCAAACCGGGAGAUAGCUGGUUCUCCCCGAAAGCUAUUUAGGUAGCGCCUCGUGAACUCAUCUCCGGGGGUAGAGCACUGUUUCGGCUAGGGGGCCAUCCCGGCUUACCAACCCGAUGCAAACUGCGAAUACCGGAGAAUGUUAUCACGGGAGACACACGGCGGGUGCUAACGUCCGUCGUGAAGAGGGAAACAACCCAGACCGCCAGCUAAGGUCCCAAAGUCAUGGUUAAGUGGGAAACGAUGUGGGAAGGCCCAGACAGCCAGGAUGUUGGCUUAGAAGCAGCCAUCAUUUAAAGAAAGCGUAAUAGCUCACUGGUCGAGUCGGCCUGCGCGGAAGAUGUAACGGGGCUAAACCAUGCACCGAAGCUGCGGCAGCGACACUGUGUGUUGUUGGGUAGGGGAGCGUUCUGUAAGCCUGUGAAGGUGGCCUGUGAGGGUUGCUGGAGGUAUCAGAAGUGCGAAUGCUGACAUAAGUAACGAUAAAGCGGGUGAAAAGCCCGCUCGCCGGAAGACCAAGGGUUCCUGUCCAACGUUAAUCGGGGCAGGGUGAGUCGACCCCUAAGGCGAGGCCGAAAGGCGUAGUCGAUGGGAAACAGGUUAAUAUUCCUGUACUUGGUGUUACUGCGAAGGGGGGACGGAGAAGGCUAUGUUGGCCGGGCGACGGUUGUCCCGGUUUAAGCGUGUAGG